ensembl:rRNA 5_8S_rRNA 5.8S ribosomal RNA
GUCUCUUAGAGAUGGAUCACUUGUGUGUCAAUUAAGAACACAGCUAGCUGUGAGAAUUAAUGUGAAUUGCAGGACAUUGAUCAUCGACACUUCGAAUACACUUGCAGCCCCGGGAUCCUGCCGCGGCUACACCUGUCUGAGAAUUG